GCUAAAAAUCUAGCCCGUAAAAUCCGCAUGAAUUUACCUACUUUUUACAUCUAACCAAAACAUUUUAACACUUUAGUAGAGGAGAUUGAAAAAUUAAUUGGAGCAAUAAAAACAGUACCGCAAGGGAAAGAUGAAAUAAGCAUGAAAUUAACCUAAAGCACAAAAAAGUAGAGAUUCCCCCUUGUACCUUUUGCAUCAUGGUUUAACUAGUCUAAUCAAGCAUAAAGAAUUAUAGUCUGACCCCCCGAAACUAAGCGAGCUACUUCGGGGCAGUUUUAAGAACUAACCCGUCUCUGUUGCAAAAGAGUGGGAUGACCCCCAAGUAGAGGUGACAGACCUAACGAGCUUAGUGAUAGCUGGUUACUCAAGAAAAGGAUUUUAGUCCAACCUAAAGCUUUUACUAUAAACAAAAAUUUUCAUCAAGCUUUUAGAGCAAUUCAAAUAAGGUACAGCCUAUUUGAAACAGGAUACAACCUCAACUGAUGGGUAACAUAACUUGGCAAUAAAUUAAGUGGGCCUAAAAGCAGCCACCUUUAAAAAGGCGUCAAAGCCUAAUUAGAUUAUUUAAACUAAUCCCCCUAUUCCCCUCUAACCCUCUAAUAAUAUUGAGUAAUUCUAUAUUCCUAUAGAACCUAUAAUGUUAAAACUAGUAACAAGAAGCUAAACCUUCUCUUAGAUGUAUGUAUAAAUCUCUAAAGGAUAAACCACUGAUAAUUAACGUAUAUGAGCCCAUAUUAGUAACUCCCCAAGAAAAUCCUAAUUUUUCCCACGUUAAACUGACACAAGAACAUCUCAAGAAAGAUUAAAAGAAAAAGAAGGAACUCGGCAAAUCUUAACCCCGCCUGUUUACCAAAAACAUCGCCUUUUGUCCAAAAAAUAUGAGGUCCAGCCUGCCCAGUGACCAUGGUUCAACGGCCGCGGUAUCCUAACCGUGCA
rnacentral:rRNA from 1 species